UAGUAACGGCGAGUGAAGAGGGAAAAGCUCAAAUUUUGAAUCUGGUGUCUUUGGCUCCCGAGUUGUAAUCUAGAGAAGUGUUUUCCGCGUUGGACCGUGUACAAGUUCCCUGGAACGGGGCAUCAUAGAGGGUGAGAAUCCCGUAUAUGCCACGGACUACCAAUGCUCUGUGAUACACUCUCAACGAGUCGAGUUGUUUGGGAAUGCAGCUCAAAAUGGGUGGUAAAUUCCAUCUAAAGCUAAAUAUUGGCGAGAGACCGAUAGCGAACAAGUACCGUGAGGGAAAGAUGAAAAGCACUUUGGAAAGAGAGUGAAACAGUACGUGAAAUUGUUGAAAGGGAAGCGUUUGAAGUCAGUCACGUCUGUCGGAAUUCAGCCUGGCUUCUGCCUGGUGUACUUUCCGUCCGACGGGUCAGCAUCAAUUUCGACCGAGGGAAAAAGACGUGAGGAAUGUGGCUGUCUUCGGGCAGUGUUAUAGCCUCGGGUUGUAUGUCUCGGUUGGGAUUGAGGAACGCAGCGCGCCUAUUGGCCGGGGGUUCGCGCCCCUCGGUACGCGCUUAGGA
rnacentral:rRNA from 1 species